rnacentral:rRNA from 1 species
CCUACGGGUGGCAGCAGUGAGGAAUAUUGGUCAAUGGGCUUACGCCUGAACCAGCCAAGUCGCGUGAGGGAAGACGGCCCUAUGGGUUGUAAACCUCUUUUGUCAGGGAGAAACGCGGGCUACGUGUAGCCGGACGGAGAGGACCUGAAGAAAAAGCAUGGGCAAACUCCGUGCAAGCAGCCGCGGUACUAGGGAGGAUGCGAGCGUUAUCGGGUUUGAUUGGGUUUAAAGGGUGCGUAGGCGGAAUGCCAAGUCAGCGGUAAAAUCGCGGGGCUCAACCUCGCUCCGCCGGUCAAACUGGCGUUCUUGAGUGGGCGAGAAGUAUGCGGCAUGCGUGGUGUAGCGGUGAAAUGCAUAGCUAUCACGCAGAACUCCGAUUGCGAAGGCAGCCUACCGGCGCCCAACUGACGCUGAUGCACGAAAGCGUGGGUAUCGAACAGGAUUAGAUACCCGGGUAGUC